UUGGUCUGAAAUCAGCUUCGUAUUGCACACACAAUGCAGCAACUGCAGCCAUCUGCAAUUGGAACAAUUAAGAUGCUUUAGGCACGGAAAUGUGACAGUGACUGACAUCGACAUUGGCAACAGUCCCGGAAAAUUUUAAAACAAGUAAAAUG